rnacentral:rRNA from 1 species
UACGGAGGGUGCGAGCGUUGUCCGGAAUCAUUGGGCGUAAAGGGCGCGUAGGUGGCCCGGUGAGUCUUUGGUGAAAGCGCGGGGCUCAACCCCGCGUCGGCCAGGGAUACUGCCGCGGCUCGAGCACUGUAGAGGCAGGCGGAAUUCCGGGUGUAGCGGUGGAAUGCGUAGAGAUCCGGAAGAACACCGGUGGCGAAGGCGGCCUGCUGGGCAGUGGCUGACGCUGAUGCGCGAAAGCCAGGGGAGCAAACGGG